rnacentral:rRNA from 1 species
AGAGUUUGAUCAUGGCUCAGAAUGAACGCUGGCGGCGUGCCUUACACAUGCAAGUCGAGCGAGGCGUCCCCGCAAGGGGAUAGUCGAGCGGCGAACGGGUGAGUAACGCGUGGAUGACCUGCCCUUUAGUGUGGAACAACCAGGGGAAACUCUGGCUAAUACCGCAUAAGACCGAGAGGUGAAAGGGGGCUCGCAAGGGCUCUCGCUGAAGGAGGGGUCCGCGUCCGAUUAGCUAGUUGGUAGGGUAAUGGCCUACCAAGGCGACGAUCGGUAGCCGGCCUGAGAGGGUGAUCGGCCACACUGGAACUGAGACACGGUCCAGACUCCUACGGGAGGCAGCAGUGGGGAAUUUUGCGCAAUGGGCUAACGCCUGACGCAGCAACGCCGCGUGGAGGAUGAAGGUCCUUGGAUUGUAAACUCCUGUCAGCGGGGAAAAAGCGACUCUGGCUAACAUCCAGGGGAGUUGAUUGUACCCGCAGAGGAAGCCCCGGCUAACUCUGUGCCAGCAGCCGCGGUAAUACAGAGGGGGCAAGCGUUAUUCGGAAUUAUUGGGCGUAAAGGGCGCGUAGGCGGCUUUGCAAGUGACGGGUGAAAUCCCUCGGCUUAACCGAGGAACUGCCUGUCAAACUGCAU